GCGGCCGCGCGCCGCGGGGGGAGGAGACGGUCUGGAGUCCCCCCGCUGCGCCGGAGAUGGGGAGACGGAGAACUGCAGCGCCCCUUGGGGCUUCUGAGGCGCCCAGGUAACCUCACCUGGCCGCCAGUCUCCCGCAGGAGGAACAGACACAUUGGUUCUACACCGAACCUAUUAACAGCUCAACUUCAAAUAUUUGCUCUUCAGCAUUGUGGAAAUGAAGCAUUUGUUGGAGGACUAUGAUGAAGACACACAGAACAUCAAAUUCUUGUGACCUAAGAGAGCUAGCUACACGUUCCCUGACUGGAGAUGGUCUCUGAUCUUCUUUAUGGUGUAAUUAUAUUUAAUGCAGAGAGGGAAAGGGGAUCCACUUGCCACAGAGGGAUCUUUACAUGUUAUGGAUUACUGGGGGAUGGAGGAUGUCCUGAUAACUACUGGUCCCUGCUGCUCUCCUCUUUCCUCUUUUCCUCUUCACUGUGGUCAUGACACAUGCUAACUAAGCCAGGUAGUGCUGCAGCAGCACAGCUUAGGCUGCGGCAUCAGCAUCAGCAAG
ensembl:processed_transcript A530058N18Rik RIKEN cDNA A530058N18 gene